rnacentral:sRNA from 1 species
UUUUGGCUUAGUUAGGAGGCAGAUAUUAAUUUGAUUUAAUUUCAGUGUUUUGUGACCGAGGCCUUUUGGAUUUCUCAAUCGAUUGUCCUCCAAGCAGCCUCACACAUUCUCAAAUCUUUUUUCCCAAAUAUUCUUUAAGUUUUUGUUUGCUUUAUUACUUUUGCCCUCCGAAUAACCAGAAGGCGAGAUGCAAAUCCGACGCCGUUUGGUUCAGACAGGGGCACACAGCGAUCCGAAGCCGUUUUGUGGGCGAAGAUCUGAUUAUUUCUUCGUCCUUUAUUUCAUUUUUUCAAAAACUUUGCUUCGAACAUUU